rnacentral:rRNA from 1 species
CGCGUGGGAACGUACCUUUUGCUACGGAAUAACUCAGGGAAACUUGUGCUAAUACCGUAUGUGCCCUUCGGGGGAAAGAUUUAUCGGCAAAGGAUCGGCCCGCGUUGGAUUAGCUAGUUGGUGAGGUAAAGGCUCACCAAGGCGACGAUCCAUAGCUGGUCUGAGAGGAUGAUCAGCCACACUGGGACUGAGACACGGCCCAGACUCCUACGGGAGGCAGCAGUGGGGAAUAUUGGACAAUGGGCGCAAGCCUGAUCCAGCCAUGCCGCGUGAGUGAUGAAGGCCCUAGGGUUGUAAAGCUCUUUCACCGGUGAAGAUAAUGACGGUAACCGGAGAAGAAGCCCCGGCUAACUUCGUG